CACAAAUGGAUAUUCCUAACUUUAUAGUGCCCUGGUAGCCGUUUAGCCCACAAUCCCCACCAGUAGGGAGUAAAAAAGGUCUUUUAGUUACCUUUUCUACCUAGCCACGCCAGUCUCCUUGCUGCUUUCCCACCUCCUAGGCUGAGAUCAUCAAGAUCGAUGUUCUAUAGGAGACCAUCUGAUAGACAAAGUCUAGUUUUAUUAAACUAUUUCUGUGGAAGAGCCUUUAGUGGCUGUCACUCUAUAGGCAUUUAAAUCCUGCAAAACAGCAAUGUUUUCAUUUGCAGUUAAAACAGGG